CGGUCGCCUCACCGCGAGUACUGGUCCGGCUGGACCUUUCCUUCUGGGGAAUCCCAUGGCCUUCACUGGCUGUGGGGGGAACCAGGACUUUUACUGUGAAAAAAUUAGAGUGUUCAAAGCAGGCCUUUGCUCGAAUACAUUAGCAUGGAAUAAUAGAAUAGGACGUGCGGUUCUAUUUUGUUGGUUUCUAGGACCGCCGUAAUGAUUAAUAGGGAUAGUCGGGGGCGUCAGUAUUCAGCUGUCAGAGGUGAAAUUCUUGGAUUUGCUGAAGACUAACUACUGCGAAAGCAUUCGCCAAGGAUGUUUUCAUUAAUCAGGGAACGAAAGUUAGGGGAUCGAAGACGAUCAGAUACCGUCGUAGUCUUAACCAUAAACUAUGCCGACUAGGGAUCGGGCGGUGUUUCUAUGAUGACCCGCUCGGCACCUUACGAGAAAUCAAAGUUUUUGGGUUCUGGGGGGAGUAUGGUCGCAAGGCUGAAACUUAAAGAAAUUGACGG
rnacentral:rRNA from 1 species